ACGAAUAAACUUGGUGGACUGUUGCUGACUCUCUUGGGAGUAUGUGCACGUCUAUCAUCUUUAUCUUUCCACCUGUGCACACUUUGUAGACUUGGAUACGCAUUGUUCUGAGGUAACUCAGCUGUGAGGAGUUGUAGGCAUUUACUUGUCAGCUCUCCUUGAGUGUCCAAGGCUAUGUCUUUCACAUACACCAAUGAAACAUUAAUAGAAUGUAUUAAAAGGUCAUUGUACCUAUAAAAACUAUA
rnacentral:misc_RNA from 1 species